rnacentral:lncRNA from 1 species
GAUUAACUCGAUCCGGUUACUCAUGACAAUACCAUUGAGGAAAAGAAGGAGUUUGAAAUAUAAGAUUGGUCAAAUCGUAUGAGUACGUUGGUUAUGGAACAAACCAUUCCAGAUAUUUUUUAGGACACUAUGUUCGAUGAGAUCACAAUAGCUAAAGAUUUUUUUCAUUCUCUAGUACAACGUUUCGCUAGAAGUGAUAAAGUUAAGGCAUGUACACUUAUGUCGACUCUUGUUUAUAUAGGUAUAAGGGAAAUGGAAAUAUC